UACAGAGGGGGCAAGCGUUGUUCGGAAUUACUGGGCGUAAAGGGCGCGUAGGCGGCCUUCUAAGUCGAACGUGAAAUCCCCGGGCUCAACCCGGGAACUGCGUCCGAUACUGGAAGGCUUGAAUCCGGGAGAGGGAUGCGGAAUUCCAGGUGUAGCGGUGAAAUGCGUAGAUAUCUGGAGGAACACCGGUGGCGAAGGCGGCAUCCUGGACCGGCAUUGACGCUGAGGCGCGAAAGCCAGGGGAGCCAAAG
rnacentral:rRNA from 1 species